UGACCUCAAAUCAGGUAGGACUACCCGCUGAACUUAAGCAUAUCAAUAAGCGGAGGAAAAGAAACCAACAAGGAUUCCCCUAGUAACGGCGAGUGAAGCGGGAAGAGCUCAAAUUUGAAAUCUGGCGGUCUAUGGCCGCCCGAGUUGUAGUCUGGAGAAGCGCUUUCUGCGCCGGACCGUGUACAAGUCCCUUGGAACAGGGCGUCACAGAGGGUGAGAAUCCCGUCUUUGACACGGACUGCCGGUGCUUUGUGAUGCGCUCUCGAAGAGUCGAGUUGUUUGGGAAUGCAGCUCAAAACGGGUGGUAAAUUCCAUCUAAAGCUAAAUAUUGGCAAAAGACCGAUAGCGAACAAGUACCGUGAGGGAAAGAUGAAAAGCACUUUGGAAAGAGAGUUAAACAGUACGUGAAAUUGUUGAAAGGGAAACGCUUGAAGUCAGUCGCGUCUUCCGGGACUCAGCCUUGCUUUUCUGCYWGGCGUACUUCCUGGAGUCGACGGGCCAGCAUCGAUUUCGACCGUCGGAGAAAGGCUUUGGGAAUGUGGCACCUUCGGGUGUGUUAUAGCCCUCGGUCGUAUACGACGGUCGGGAUCGAGGACCGCAGCACGCCUUUUUGGCCGGGGUUCGCCCACGUAACGUGCUAGGA
rnacentral:rRNA from 1 species